CUCUUUAGCCAAAAAGGCAACAAUCUAAAUCUUAAGUGAGAUUUCCUUUGAUACAGAGCAAUUUGGGGCUUGCUAUUAUAAAGAAUAGAGUAUUUUUAAAUUUUUUAUUUUUUUUUAGAUUUUAUUUAUUUAUUUGGCAGACAGAGAGAGAGGGAAGCAGACUCCCUGCUGAGCAGAGAGCCCAAUGCGGGACUAGAUCCCAGGACCCUGAGAUCAUGACCUGUAGCCGAAGGCAGUGGCUCAACCCACUGAGCCACCCAGGCGCCCUAAAGUAUUUUUUUUAAAGGACUCCUUAGAUUGUAUGUAUCUCCUUCACUUUAUUGCCAAAUGCAUCUACUCACACAAGUCAAAGAAGUACAAUCUUAAAAAAUAAAACUACUUAAGUGGUGGUAAAUGGGGGAGCUAUUGUCUAAAAAUAAUAAAAACUAUUAUUUUCUUAUAGGAAUCAAGAAAAAAAUUAAAGAUUUGACUGAAGCUGGUCCUUGGUUAGUGAAGUUGUAUCUGGCAGAUAACGGCAUAGACAGAAGAGGAAAAGAAGGAGGAAAUGGCUUGUUGGAAUUCACUCAAAUUUUAACAUGCCUGAUCACAUACUCUGCUCACUUAAGGGAAAUUGACCUCAGAAACAAUGUCCUGGGAGAGAUGGCUGCUGCUGACAUACUUGAAGCACUGAGAGCCAGAAAGACAGGUACAGAGUGUGGUUUGUGUUCCCUUCCACUUGUCCAUAUCUACUCACCCCUAAAUGCUAUAUUGCUCAUAGCCUGCUCUACUUUUUUCAUCAAAUAACUGGCCUGAGCUAUGUGAUGACCAGGAGCACUGUCAUAAGCCACCUACCCUUAUGUCCAUUUACUCCAUGAUUUGCACAGAGUUCAAGAACUUUUCUGAUGUCAUUGGUUGUCUUUGACCUAAGCACAGUAGUCUCCCCUUAUGCAUGGGGAACAUGUUCCAAGAUCCCCAGUGGAUGCCUGAAACUGCAGAUAGGACCAAACUGUACAUAUACUGUGGGUUUUUUUUUCCUAUACAAGCAUACUUAUGAGAGUUUAACUUAUAAAUGGGCACAGUAAGAGAUUAACAAUAAUAAAUAGUAA
rnacentral:lncRNA from 1 species